GACCGCGACCCCAGGUCAGGCGGGAU
rnacentral:rRNA from 1 species